GCGGGCGUGGUGUACGGUACACACAGCUGCAUUUCAUAGACGGCCAGUGGGAAAUGAAAUGAUCAGCAGCAUCCCGGGUUCGACCUCCGACGCCCGCA